rnacentral:rRNA from 1 species
AUGGACGGCGACCACGCGCCGCAUUCCAACUCCAACCAGCACCCGCCCCCGCCGCCGUCGCCGUCGCCGCUGCCGGAGCGGGAGGGCAGCUUCAACUACGACAUAGAGAGCAUGGACGGCGGCGGGUGGCGCGGCGCGGGGAGGUACGCCUCGUCCGACGCCCUGCUGCGGUACGACGACGACGGCCCGCGCGAGCCGCUGCUGCGGAAGCGCACAAUGAACACCACCUCCCAGAUCGCCAUCGUCGGCGCCAACGUCUUCGCCAUCGAGAGCCUCGACUACGAAAUUGUGGAGAAUGAUCUUUUCAAGCAAGACUGGCGAUCGAGAAAGAAGAAUCAGAUAUUUCAGUAUGUUGUCCUGAAAUGGGCAUUGGUUCUUCUUAUUGGCUUGUUGACUGGGCUUGUUGGCUUCUUCAACAACCUUGCAGUCGAGAAUAUUGCUGGAUUCAAAUUGGUGCUCACAGGUGAUCUUAUGCUCCAGAAGAGGUACUUCACAGCAUUUUUGGCAUACGGAGGCUGCAAUCUAGUCCUAGGAGCCACUGCUGCAGCACUAUGCGCUUACAUAGCACCAGCUGCUGCUGGGUCUGGCAUCCCUGAAGUUAAAGCAUAUCUUAAUGGAGUUGACGCUUACUCUAUUUUAGCUCCCAGCACACUCUUUGUCAAGAUAUUUGGUUCAAUACUUGGAGUUUCAGGUGGAUUUGUACUUGGGAAAGAAGGUCCCAUGGUGCAUACUGGGGCAUGCAUUGCCAACUUGCUUGGUCAGGGGGGAUCACGCAAGUACCAUCUCACAUGGAAUUGGCUGAAAUAUUUCAAAAAUGAUAGAGAUAGACGAGAUUUGAUUACAUGUGGUGCAGCAGCUGGAGUGGCAGCCGCAUUUCGCGCACCUGUUGGUGGUGUACUCUUUGCUCUCGAGGAAGCAGCAUCAUGGUGGCGAAGUGCUCUUCUGUGGAGAACAUUCUUCACAACUGCUGUUGUUGCUGUAGUGUUGAGGGCCCUGAUUGAGUUCUGUCGUAAAGGAAAAUGUGGUCUCUUUGGGCAAGGAGGGUUGAUUAUGUUUGAUCUUAGCUCGAACGUCCCAUCAUAUGGUACCCAAGAUCUCAUCGCGAUUAUAAUUCUUGGAGUAAUUGGUGGCGUCUUCGGAGGCCUUUUCAACUUUCUCUUGGAUAGGAUUCUUCGUGUCUACAGUAUUAUCAAUGAGAGAGGCGCUCCAUCCAAGAUUCUUCUCACCAUCACAAUAUCGAUCAUCACUUCGGCGUGCUCCUAUGGGCUCCCUUGGCUUGCUGCGUGCUCUCCGUGCCCUGUUGGUUCAAUGGAGGAAUGCCCCACCAUUGGCCGCUCUGGAAAUUUUAAGAGCUUCCAGUGCCCGCCUGGUCACUACAAUGGUCUUGCAUCACUCUUCUUCAACACAAAUGACGAUGCCAUCCGCAAUCUCUUCAGCCGUGGUACCGAAAAUGAGUUCCACAUGUCUAGCCUUUUCGUCUUCUUCAUUGCUAUCUACUGCCUUGGUCUCGUGACGUAUGGUAUUGCUGUCCCAUCUGGUCUCUUUAUCCCGGUAAUACUUGCCGGGGCAACAUAUGGGCGCAUCGUUGGGACACUUCUCGGUCCCAUGUCUGAUAUCGAUCCUGGCCUCUUUGCACUGCUGGGUGCCGCAUCUUUCCUUGGUGGAACAAUGAGAAUGACCGUGUCGGUCUGCGUGAUCCUUCUGGAGCUCACAAAUGAGCUCCACAUGCUCCCCUUGGUCAUGCUCGUCCUCCUGAUAUCGAAGACCAUAGCCGAUUGCUUCAACAAAGGUGUGUAUGACCAGAUCGUGGUGAUGAAAGGCUUGCCAUUCAUGGAGGCUCAUGCUGAACCGUACAUGAGGCACUUGGUAGCUAGUGAUGUUGUGUCUGGGCCACUCAUCUCCUUUUCGGGUGUUGAGAAGGUGGGCAACAUCGUUCAUGCGUUAAGGAUCACGGGCCACAACGGGUUCCCGGUGGUCGACGAGCCGCCUGUAUCAGAAGCUCCGGAGCUGGUUGGGCUGGUGCUUAGGUCACAUGUGUUGGUUCUUCUGAGUGGGAGGAACUUCAUGAAGGAGAAGGUGAAAACAAGUGGUAGCUUUGUGCUUAGAAGAUUUGGUGCGUUUGACUUCGCCAAGCCUGGUUCCGGGAAAGGUAUGAAAAUCGAGGACCUAGAUUUCACCGAGGAAGAAAUGGAGAUGUAUGUGGAUCUCCAUCCAAUCACAAACACUUCACCGUACACGGUGGUCGAAACAAUGUCGCUUGCAAAGGCUGCAGUCCUGUUCAGGGCACUAGGGCUAAGACACCUGCUGGUUGUGCCAAAGACCCCAGGGAGAUUUCCUAUAGUUGGGAUUCUCACCAGGCACGAUCUGAUGCCGGAGCAUAUCCAUGGGCUGUUCCCCAAUCUCCGCAAGUCACAUUGA